GAUGAAGAACGUAGCGAAAUGCGAUAAGUAGUGUGAAUUGCAGAAUUCAGUGAAUCAUCGAAUCUUUGAACGCACAUUGCGCCUCCUGGUAUUCCGGGAGGCAUGCCUGUUCGAGCGUCAUUAAAAUCACUCGAGCUUAGGUUUACCUAUUGCUUGGUCUUGGAGAUGGAAGCCAAUUUAUUGGAAUCCUCUUCGAAAUUCAAUGGCGAAGACCCUUGCUCUCCCAAGUGUAGUAAUAACUUAUGUCACUGAAGGAAGCGAGAAAUCUUCUGCCGUAACCCCCAUAUUUUCUAUGAUUGACCUCGGAUCAGGUAGGGAUACCCGCUGAACUUAAGCAUAUCAAUAAGCGGAGGA
rnacentral:misc_RNA from 1 species